GAUGAACGCUGGCGGCGUGCCUAAUACAUGCAAGUCGAGCGAACGGACGAGAAGCUUGCUUCUCUGAUGUUAGCGGCGGACGGGUGAGUAACACGUGGAUAACCUACCUAUAAGACUGGGAUAACUUCGGGAAACCGGAGCUAAUACCGGAUAAUAUUUUGAACCGCAUGGUUCAAAAGUGAAAGACGGUCUUGCUGUCACUUAUAGAUGGAUCCGCGCUGCAUUAGCUAGUUGGUAAGGUAACGGCUUACCAAGGCAACGAUGCAUAGCCGACCUGAGAGGGUGAUCGGCCACACUGGAGCUGAGACACGGUCCAGACUCCUGCGGGAGGCAGCAGUAGGGAAUCUUCCGCAAUGGGCGAAAGCCUGACGGAGCAAGGCCGCGUGAGUGAUGAAGGUCUUCGGAUCGUAAAGCUCUGUUAUUAGGGAAGAACAUAUGUGUAAGUAACUGUGCACAUCUUGACGGUACCUAAUCAGAAAGCCACGGCUAACUACGUG
rnacentral:rRNA from 1 species